ACAAAUUUUUGACCCAAAAAUACUUUCAGUUGAAAUAUGCAGUCAUUUCGUCAUUUUUUGCUUCGUAUUGUUGUUCUCAGUGCUGCAUACAAUAUUAAUGUUGGAGGUGAUUCUGUAGAUUGUUUGCUAGUAAGUGGUCUCAACAUCAUUCGUUGUGUAACUCCGACGGACAACGCAGAUGCUUCUGCAGUUAGUUGCCUCACCGACUGUGUCUGUAUUCAUGGCUUAUCGGGUGCUACUUGUGAUAGCGGAAAAUGUCACUGUAACAACGACGCAAAGCUCAAUGAAACUGCUAUGGCUCAACUACGUCAAACGCAA